UACGAAGGGGGCUAGCGUUGCUCGGAUUGACUGGGCGUAGAGGGCGCGUAGGCGGAUAGUACAGUCAGGCGUGAAAUUCCUGGGCUCAACCUGGGGGCUGCGUUUGAUACGUAUUGUCUGGAGUUCGGAAGAGGGUCGUGGAAUUCCCAGUGUAGAGGUGAAAUUCGUAGAUAUUGGGAAGAACACCGGUGGCGAAGGCGGCGACCUGGUCCGAUACUGACGCUGAGGCGCGAAAGCGUGGGGAGCAAACAGG
rnacentral:rRNA from 1 species